rnacentral:rRNA from 1 species
UACAGAGGUGGCAAGCGUUGUUCGGAAUUACUGGGCGUAAAGCGUGCGCAGGCGGUCUGUUAAGACCGAUGUGAAAUCCCCGGGCUUAACCUGGGAACUGCAUUGGUGACUGGCAGGCUUUGAGUGUGGCAGAGGGAGGUAGAAUUCCACGUGUAGCAGUGAAGUGCGUAGAGAUGUGGAGGAAUACCGAUGGCGAAGGCAGCCUCCUGGGCCAACACUGACGCUCAUGCACGAAAGCGUGGGGAGCAAACAGG